AAAAAUACUAAUGGAAGUUAUACGUGUGGUUGCAACCAAGGAUUCAAACUCUCUCAAGAUGGAAAAAAUUGCGAAAUUUGUCUAAUGUGUCAUCCAGAAUUCGAGUUUCUAAUGGUCCGCGUUGAACUACUUGAAACGGAGGUUAAAGAAUUGAGAACUCUACUAAAAAACAAAACAUUUUAUGGGACAACAGAUUCUCCGUCAAAGCAGCCGAGUGUUUUUCCAAAUCAGAUUAUUAAUGAUGGUCAUAUAUCGCAAAUUGAAAUCAUUCCAUCGUUGAGUGAGCAGAUAUCUAUUCUAGAAGAAAAAUUAGCAUUUUGUGACUGUAGGCCUCCACCAAAGCAUCGUCGUUACAACUGAUGAGAACAUUCCAUCAUUUGGCAGCUUCAAUUUCCAGUUGGUAGCCGCCAAUUUUCGAGCCUCAAGAAGAACCAGUGUUUACUACCGUACCUCCUCUUAGUUCUGUAUCAUACUGUUAAAACAACUGCUGGAUCAAGAAAACUAUGAAUGAAAUUUGAAGAAGAUAUAUACUGUAUAAAUAAACAGCAUUAUUUCCAGCAUCUCAAGACAAUUUUUGAAAUAAAUAUAUUCGGCUGUUUAUUGGGCGAAUAUGGCUGCAACUAUGUGAAUUAUGAAAAAUAUCGGAAUCAAUGGCCGACCAUAUUUAGUUUUAGAAAUGGAAAUUGUUUAGCCAUAUUAUUAUUUUUUAUUGAAUUUUACUGUAAUACGCAUAAAAGUCAUGACAGUAUGCGCCUUAUAAGUCACAAUAUGUUGGUAAUUAUUAAUAUUAUUAUAAAAUUGAAAAGGGGCAACAGUAUACGGGAUGUCUACUUUAAAUUAUUUUAUAACUUUGACAAAUGCAUGAAUAUGCAUUUGUAAAAAUCAUACAGUUUACAGUAACAACAUUUGAUAGGCCUAUUUUUUUUUUAAUUAAACGUACAUGUUUAUACCGUAUAGGCCGAUUACUUCUUGGAUUCUCUAUGGAGUAAUGAUGACGUCACCGUGAUAAUUGGGAUCCCUUUAAAUGCAUUGAUAUUUAUUGGUGUGAACAUCUCUUUGCGUUGCUAUAGGAUACGCUUCCAAGACACGAACAGAAACGGAUUACGGAUUUGUCUUGGUAAUCAUGUUUUAUAAUUAUAUUAUAUAGGCAUAUUGUAUAAUUCUUAUUCUAAAAAGUAAGGUUUAGUUCAACAGCAAUGCUUUUAAAAUAAUUACCGUACGGUAUUUCUUCGAAUAAACACCCCGGGCGUUUAUUGUUAGGAAUGGGGGUGGGAGCGUUUAUUCGAGGGAGGUACUAGUAAACACAAAGAACGUUCAAACGUUGUGACAUUGAGAAAUUAGGUUAUAAGUACAAUACGUACAUAUGGUUCUACAAAGUAACGUUUUUAUCACAAAAUAAUAAUAAUAAUAAUAAUAAUAAUAAUAAUAUUAAUAAAUUACUAUUUAUAUAGCGCAUAUUGCAAGAAACUGCUUCUAUGCACUUAACAACAACUAAAAAGGAUUUAAAAUAAAAAAUAAAAUAAAUUCGGAUAACGUAAUAUUGUUAGCCUCUUAAUUUCACUGUAAAUGUGGACAGUAUUGUACCGUCUAAAUGUGUGAUCAUAAAGACCUAUUGAUACAAACUAGGUUAGAAAAAAUGUAAUUCUACAGGAUUAGAACAUUAAUAGUAUGUGUUGAGAAUGAUAUUGCGUCCAUUAUAUUUUUGUUUACAGUCAAUUAUGGAGGGGGUCGUUUAUUCAAUGGAAACGUUCAUUCCAAAUGGGGAGCUUAUUCGAGAGGGAGGGGGCGUUUAUUUGAAUAAAUACGGUAAUUAAAAUAUUAAUCUCAGAAAGUAUUCGUUUCCAAUUGUCACCGUGAAGAGAGGUAAGCCUACUCGAAAUAAUCAAUUGUGUUGCCUUUCAUUGAACAAAUAAAUUAUUCACAUAGGAAACUAUUAAAUUCGGCAAAACUAUAAUUAUCUUUAUAUAAAAUGCUGAAAAGUUUAGCAAGUUAAUAUUCCGUUACGGAAGAUUUAUGGUUAAAAAAUAAUUACAGUCUUUGAAUUUCAUUGACAACAUUUGUUGGACUAUGCAAUGAAUUGAAAAGUUUAUUGCAAACACGAACGUCAUUGAAAACAAAAUUUAAUGAUGUUUUUAGGUAAAAAAUAUAAUAUAGACGUUGUUGACAAGAGUAAGGGGAAAAAAAUCCAAAACAAAACAAAAAAAACAAAUGCAAGAGAGAGGACAUUGUUUCAUCGGUGCUUAAACGCAAAUUAAACUGAUCGGUGUAAAGUUGCUAUUAGUAAAUUCUUCUUCUUAGUUUGAUUACCCAGCAAAAUAAAACGUAUUAUUAUAACAUUCGCGAAUGGCUGUGAACGUUGUUGUUAGGUUGUCAGAAAUUGACGUUAACACAACGUUGCAGCAACGUUAUCAAUUUUAUUUAGUUGGAACUUACGGUAUAAAUACGUCUGUAUAUUCUAAAAAAAUAACGUGUAAAGCACUAAAUUGUAAGGUUAGGCCUAUUUUAACGCAAAAAUGUUAGGGGUAGGCCUAAGGUAGUUUGUGUUAUGAAUAUGUCUUUAAAUUUGUGUUCUCAAAAUAGGAAUAAAGUAACGAAUAACGCUGCUGUUCAAUAAAUUCCUAAAAGUUUAUCAAGCUGUAUAUUUUAGUCUAUUUUGUAUUCAUUGUUUUUAGUUUACUGAAUAAACAUUUGUUGUAGACAUUCAUGAGUUUGAUAAAAUAAAAUAUGAUUCAAAUAUA
rnacentral:lncRNA from 1 species